AGUGACAUCACCAUAUAGUUUGCCUGUCAGCAUGUGCAGCUCAACACUUGGAGUGAUUGCCAUUUCAUCCAAGGACAGCACACACUCCCUUUCAAGGGUUCUGAUCGCUGGCAAGGGAAUCUGCAAUUCCUGUAGGGUCUUGUAACCAGUUGGACCGGAUGCAAAGCGAAUUUUUAAUGCCUUCUUAAUUGUUUCAUUGCUCCAUUUCAUACCUUUUGUGACCCAGGUAACUGGCUGAUGGCUCACUGGAAUGCUGACUGGCUGCUGACUGACUUGCUG